GUGCUCAAUUUGGCAGCACAUAUACUAAAAUUGGAAUGAUACAAUGAGAUAAACAUGGCCCCUGCACAAGCAUGAUGUGCAAAUUAGUGAAGUGUUCCAUAUUUUU